rnacentral:sRNA from 1 species
GCAUCCCGGGGCUGCCUGUGAAAGCUCAUCUCUAAAGUGUGUGUUGUUCUUCCAGCCACCCCUUUGCUGUGAAGUUGCUUGCGCUUUGUAAGAAAGAAAUCAAGAAUUCAAAAGAUAUCCAGAAGCUCCUGUCAGGCAUCGCAGUGUUCUGCGGGAUGGUGCAGUUCCCCGGCGACGUGAGGAGGCAGGCCCUCCUGCAGCUGUGUCUGCUCCUCUGCCACCGUUUCCCGCUGAUCCGGAAGACCACGGCCAGCCAGGUGUACGAGACAUUGCUCACCUACAGUGACGUCGUGGGCGCGGACGUGCUGGAUGAGGUGGUGACUGUGCUCAGUGACACCGCGUGGGACGCGGAGCUUGCAGUGGUGAGAGAGCAGCGCAACCGUCUGUGUGACCUUCUGGGCGUGCCCAGGCCCCAGCUGGUGCCCCAGCCUGGUGCCUGCUGAAGCCAGUCCUGGAGCCCAUACCUCACCCCUGCCUGGUGACGAUGUCUUGUUCCUGAGGGAGGCCGGUGUGGAAAGCCUCGCACAGUGGUGCCUCCAGCUGUUGAAGGGCAGCGCUGGCCCUUGGAGGCUGGCACUAGCUGACAGCUUUUCCUCUCUGCACCUGCGCUCUGGUGACUUGGGGUGGACGCCUCUGCCUUCACUUGAACACAAAUGUGCUUCCUAUAAAAUCAUGUACCAAGAA